GGUCAUAGCUCAGUGUUGGAGCACCCACUUUGCAUGCAGGUGUCCCUGGUUUGAUUCCUGGCAUCUCCA